rnacentral:rRNA from 1 species
AGGGGAGUGAAAUAGAACCUGAAACCCUGCACUUACAAGCUGUGGAAGCACAUUUCUUGUGUGACCGCGUACUUUUUGUAGAACGGGCCAACGAGUUACGUUAAGUAGCAAGGUUAAGCACUUAAGGGGUGGAGCCGUAGCGAAAGCGAGUUUUAACUGAGCGUUCAGUUACUUGACGUAGACCCGAAACCGGGCGACCUACCCAUGAGCAGGAUGAAGCGAAAGUAAAA